CAGCCGCCGCGGGAAUACAGAGGGUGCAAGCGUUAAUCGGAAUUACUGGGCGUAAAGGGCGCGUAGGUGGUUGUGUAAGUGAGAUGUGAAAUCCCCGGGCUCAACCUGGGAACUGCGUCUUAUACUGCAUAGCUUGAGUACAAUAGAGGGUAGUGGAAUUUCCGGUGUAGCGGUGAAAUGCGUUGAUAUCGGAAGGAACACCAGUGGCGAAGGCGGCUACCUGGAUUGAUACUGACACUGAGGCGCGAGAGCGUGGGGAGCAGACAUGAUUAGAUACCCCAGUAGUCCCUGUCUCUUAUAC
rnacentral:rRNA from 1 species